ACGGGUGAGUAAUGCCUAGGAAUCUGCCUGGUAGUGGGGGACAACGUUUCGAAAGGAACGCUAAUACCGCAUACGUCCUACGGGAGAAAGCAGGGGACCUUCGGGCCUUGCGCUAUCAGAUGAGCCUAGGUCGGAUUAGCUAGUUGGUGAGGUAAUGGCUCACCAAGGCGACGAUCCGUAACUGGUCUGAGAGGAUGAUCAGUCACACUGGAACUGAGACACGGUCCAGACUCCUACGGGAGGCAGCAGUGGGGAAUAUUGGACAAUGGGCGAAAGCCUGAUCCAGCCAUGCCGCGUGUGUGAAGAAGGUCUUCGGAUUGUAAAGCACUUUAAGUUGGGAGGAAGGGCAGUAACUUAAUACGUUGCUGUUUUGACGUUACCGACAGAAUAAGCACCGGCUAACUCUGUGCCAGCAGCCGCGGUAAUACAGAGGGUGCAAGCGUUAAUCGGAAUUACUGGGCGUAAAGCGCGCGUAGGUGGUUUGUUAAGUUGGAUGUGAAAUCCCCGGGCUCAACCUGGGAACUGCAUUCAAAACUGACAAGCUAGAGUAUGGUAGAGGGUGGUGGAAUUUCCUGUGUAGCGGUGA
rnacentral:rRNA from 1 species